rnacentral:rRNA from 1 species
AUUGAACGCUGGCGGCAGGCCUAACACAUGCAAGUCGAACGAGUGGCGGACGGGUGAGUAAUGUCUGGGAAACUGCCCGAUGGAGGGGGAUAACUACUGGAAACGGUAGCUAAUACCGCAUACCCUCGGAUGUGCCCCGAUGGCAUUAGCUGGUAGGUGGGGUAACGGCUCACCUUGGCGUCGUUCCCUAGCUGGUCUGAGAGGAUGACCAGCCACCCUGGAACUGAGACACGGUCCAGACUCCUACGGGAGGCAGCAGUGGGGAAUAUUGCACAAUGGGCGAAAGACGGAUGCAGCCAUGCCGCGUGUAUGAAGAAGGCCUUCGGGUUGUAAAGUACUUUCAGCGGGGAGGCGGUACUCGCAGAAGAAGCACCGGCUAACUCCGUGCCAGCAGCCGCGGUAAUAC